AAAUAAAACAAUAAAAUACAUAAGUUAAAAAAACAAAGAAAUACACUGAAGUUAUCAAAUUAAUAGAAUAGAUAACAUUAGGGAUAACUUGGCUCUUCCUUUUUUUCCAAAAUUCAAAUUACCAUAGUCUACACUUCACUUAACAUGCAUGCAAAUUUUGGCAGUGAUUGGCCGUUCAACGGCCGAGAUCAUAGGGGGAGAGGGCCUUCAAAGUCCCCCUCGGGCUAUGCAGUUUCAAAAUAUCCUUAGGCUAGAUAUAUAUCACUUUUUAGAAUUAACAUUUGAAGAUUUCGUAGAAGGGGGGGGGGGGUCCAGUACAUGAAACGGAAUGGCGAGCAAAAAGAAAAAAAUAAUUGACUUUCAAAUUUUGCUGAAAAGUAACUAUUGAAGACAACUAAACUCUAUUUUAUUUGUAUUUUCUUACAUAUUUGGUUAAUAUUUAUUGAAAUGUUUAUAAAGCUGUUCCAGGGAUUGAGAAGGAGGGUUUCCUGUGGAGAGAUGGGGUGCCUUGAGGUUCCAGUCUUGAUGUUCUGCCCCUUGACUCAUAGCGGUGGAGUCUUGUGCUUAACAAUAUAGGAGCAAAGCACAAUCGACUGUUGAUUGAAUCACAACAGCAUCAAGAGAACCAACAUUUUCCAGAGACUCAGCAGCAACAACCAACAAUAGCAGGAGCAGCGGCAACAACAACAGCAGCAACAACAGCAGCAACAGCAGCAACAACAACAUCAACAGCAGCAGCAAAAGCAUCAGCGCAGCACCAGCAGCAGCAACCUGGACAACAACAAAGAUGGCAGCAGCAACAUCGACAACAAGGACAACAAAGAAAAUGCACAGUUGGUGGACAGCUGGAGCUGUUGGAGAUUGAGAGGGAGAUAUUUGGAAUAUUAAAAUUGAGGUUUAAAAGGAAAAGUUGCAAGUAAUGAUAAGAUACAAAAAUCAAAUUAAUCAAUACUAAACAAUGAACUGUAAAUUUUCUUCAUCAUUUUUAACUGCAUUUUUCAACCUUUGAGGGUUUUUUUCCUCUCAGUAGUUUAAGUAGAUCUCAAGAUAUAGAUCUAUUGAUCUAGAUUAAGUAGUCUGUUCUUUGAAAAUUGAUGGAAAAUUGACACAACGAAUGUCAUUCUGAUUUUAUUUUAUUAAUAUUCCGUUCAAUUGAGAAGGCCCUUCAACAUUAAUUUCAGCUGUUUGUUGUGUGUUUAUUUUUAUUUCGUUGUCUCUACCAA